CAGCCGCCGCGGUAAUACGAAGGGGGCUAGCGUUGUUCGGAAUUACUGGGCGUAAAGCGCACGUAGGCGGAUAUUUAGGUCAGGGGUGAAAUCCCAGAGCUCAACUCUGGAACUGCCUUUGAUACUGGGUAUCUUGAGUAUGGAAGAGGUGAGUGGAAUUCCGAGUGUAGAGGUGAAAUUCGUAGAUAUUCGGAGGAACACCAGUGGCGAAGGCGGCUCACUGGUCCAUUACUGACGCUGAGGUGCGAAAGCGUGGGGAGCAAACAGGAUUAGAUACCCGCGUAGUCCCUGUCUCUUAUAC
rnacentral:rRNA from 1 species